AAUAUGUAAAUAAAGUAAUAGGUACAUGAAUAUAUUUAAAAAUAAUGCGUUUGGAAAAGAAAAGCAGUUUGUUAAGAAAAUCCACUACCAGCUAUCGACUAAACAGCAAAAAAUAAUGAAAUUCGGGGACAUCGAAUCAAAUAUGCAGCCG